GGAGAGAUGGCUCAGCGGUUAAGAGCACUGGCUGCUCUUCCAGAGGUCCUGAGUUCAAUUCCCAGCAUCUACA
rfam:Cricetulus griseus cell line CHO-K1, whole genome shotgun sequence.